UGUGGGAGCGGGCUUGCCCGCGAUUCAGACAACUCGGUUUUUUAGCUGGACCGAGUCGAGCUUAUCGCGGGCAAGCCCGCUCCCACA
rnacentral:misc_RNA from 1 species